GAUGAACGCUGGCGGCGUGCCUAAUACAUGCAAGUCGAGCGAACAGACGAGGAGCUUGCUCCUCUGACGUUAGCGGCGGACGGGUGAGUAACACGUGGAUAACCUACCUAUAAGACUGGGAUAACUUCGGGAAACCGGAGCUAAUACCGGAUAAUAUAUUGAACCGCAUGGUUCAAUAGUGAAAGACGGUUUUGCUGUCACUUAUAGAUGGAUCCGCGCCGCAUUAGCUAGUUGGUAAGGUAACGGCUUACCAAGGCAACGAUGCGUAGCCGACCUGAGAGGGUGAUCGGCCACACUGGAACUGAGACACGGGCCAGACUCCUACGGGAGGCAGCAGUAGGGAAUCGUCCGCAAUGGGCGAAAGCCUGACGGAGCAACGCCGCGUGAGUGAUGAAGGUCUUCGGAUCGUAAAACUCUGUUAUUAGGGAAGAACAAAUGUGUAAGUAACUAUGCACGUCUUGACGGUGCCUAAGCAGAAAGCCACGGCUAGCUACGUG
rnacentral:rRNA from 1 species